rnacentral:lncRNA from 1 species
CUUUUACUUUAUCUAUUUUCCGCACUCUCUUUACUUUAUUUAUUUUCCGCACUCACUUUUACUUUUUUUAUUUUCCACACUCGCUUUUACUUUAUUUAUUUUCUGCACUCACUUUACUUUAUUUAUUUUCCGCACUCGCUUUACUUUAUUUAUUUUACGCACUUUACUCGCUCUCUACGCCUCACAUUCUAAAACAAACUUUUCAUCAUGAUUAACACCGUUGUGUUUGUUUAUGUUACCAUGUC